GUAGGUGGCAAGCGUUGUCCGGAAUUAUUGGGCGUAAAGCGCGCGCAGGGCGGUUUUUAAGUCUGAUGUGAAAGCCCACGGGCUCAACCGUGGAGGGUCAUUGGAAACUGGAGAACUUGAGUACAGAAGAGGAAAGCGGAAUUCCACGUGUAGCGGUGAAAUGCGUAGAGAUGUGGAGGAACACCAGUGGCGAAGGCGGCUUUCUGGUCUGUAACUGACGCUGAGGCGCGAAAGCGUGGGGAGCAAACAGGAUUAGAUACCCUGGUAGUCCACGCCGUAAACGAUGAGUGCUAAGUGUUAGGGGGUUUCCGCCCCUUAGUGCUGCAGCUAACGCAUUAAGCACUCCGCCUGGGGAGUACGGCCGCAAAGGCUG
rnacentral:rRNA from 1 species